rnacentral:rRNA from 1 species
UACGUAGGGUGCAAGCGUUGUCCGGAAUUAUUGGGCGUAAAGAGCUCGUAGGCGGUUUGUCGCGUCUGCUGUGAAAACUCAGGGCUUAACCCUGAGCUUGCAGUGGGUACGGGCAGACUAGAGUGCGGUAGGGGAGACUGGAAUUCCUGGUGUAGCGGUGAAAUGCGCAGAUAUCAGGAGGAACACCGGUGGCGAAGGCGGGUCGCUGGGCAGAUACAGACGCUGAGGCACGAAAGCUAGGGGAGCAAACAGG